CUUGCUUCUCGGCCUUUUGGCUAAGAUGAAGUGUAGUAUCUGUUCUUAUCAGUUUAAUAUCUGAUACGUCCUCUAUAUGAGGACUACAUAUUAAAUAGAUUUUUAGGACAGGGAGACGGAAGAGGGGCUUGCUCCGUCCACUCCACGCAUCGACCUGCUAUUGCAGUACCUCCGGGAACGGUGCACCUUCU
ensembl:snRNA U2 U2 spliceosomal RNA